rnacentral:rRNA from 1 species
GAAGGUCCGGGCGUUAUCCGGAUUUAUUGGGUUUAAAGGGAGCGUAGGCCGGAGAUUAAGCGUGUUGUGAAAUACGGCGGCUCAACCGUCGGGGUGCAGUUGAUACUGGACGUCUUGAGUGCACACAAGGAUGCCGGAAUUCAUGGUGUAGCGGUGAAAUGCUCAGAUAUCAUGAAGAACUCCGAUCGCGAAGGCAGGUGUCCGGGGUGCAACUGACGCUGAGGCUCGAAAGUGCGGGUAUCAAA